rnacentral:misc_RNA from 1 species
ACACCUCACUACUAUAACUUUUUGUUGUAAUAGUGGACUUGGAAUGCGCUGGUGUCAAUCAGCCCUUCUAAAAUGGAGUUCUUGCACUGUUGAUUUGUUUUAACAGCAUGUUGGCCUAAUAAGUUUCGGCAGUAAUGUUGAAAUCACUGGCUUCUUUUGCUUAGAAUCUGACAGUCUUGAUAUACAGAAUUUUCGAGGAGACUUGUCUCUUCUUCAAA